UCCCGCAGCGCUGACCGGAAGAGCUUGCUGGGACCAGGAAACGCCGCCACCGCUUGAUCUCCCCCACCUGCCCGAAGACCUGGAGGCCUUCAGAGGGCCAGGAGUCAGCAGCCCGGGGCGCUGCGGCCCUCUCCGCCUGAGGGAGCGCCCUUGGCAACAAGGCAAAGAGCAUUAUUCACAAUAAUGCCGAGGGGUAGAAGCAAGCCGAACGCCCAUCAAUGAAGGACUGGAUAAACAAAAUGUGGUCAGAGGGCUAAAGUAGGAAAUCAAACGAUUUUCAAGAUUCAAGCUUUCAAGAUUAAAGCAAAAGACUAAAGUAAAGGAAAACUAGAACUGCAGAGAUUCUUGUGGCCUGACUUUCUCUGCUGCCCUUCAAAACUUUGCUGAGAAAGGUGGGAACAAGAUGUGACUGCAAAUGAGCACAAGGAAUCUUUUUGGGGUGAUGAGUAUGUUCCAAAAUUGGAUUUUGGUGGUUUUACAACUGUAAAUUUACUAAAAACCAUUGAAGU